rnacentral:rRNA from 1 species
AAAACAUUGCCUUAUGCAAAAUUAUAUAAGGUAAAUUCUGCCCAGUGAUUUUUAAACGGCCGCGGUAUCCUGACCGUGCAAAGGUAGCAUAAUCAUUUGCCCCUUAAUUAGGGGCUAGUAUGAAGGAAUAAACAAAGAAAGACUAUCUUAUCAAUAAAAAUAAAAACUUACCUUUAAGUGAAGAGGCUUAAAUAAAGAAAAAAGACAAGAAGACCCUAUCAAGCUUUAUUUUUAAACCUUAUUCAAAUGCUAAUAAAUUUUAUUGGGGCAAUAAAAAAUUAUUAAAAACAUUUUUUAAUUUAAGAACUAUAUAUCUAAUAAAAAAACUUCCACAAAUCAAAAAGAAAGCUACUGUAGGGAUAACAGGCUAAUAUUUCUCAAGAGCCCUUAUCAACAGAAAUGAUUGGCACCUCGAUGUUGGCUUAAGAUUCCUAGUUCGCGCAAAAGCAAAUAAAGGAGGUUUGUUCAACCUUUAAAAUCUUACAUGAUCUGA